AACGUUGGCAACGUACUGCAUACGAUUUGACCACGUGACAUAUUUACAUAUAAACAAAAACACGCGGAUUGCGACACAACGUGGCAAGACAGAUCAGAAAACGAGUCGUGUCGAAAACUCAAUUAUUUAAGUGGAAUUAUGACAUUUGACGAUUCGGAGUGUGUUAUGAAGAAAUCGGAAUUACUGUAAUGGAUAAUAAAAUGGCAGAAAUAUUGGAAGUUAAAAAGUCGAAGAAAACGCGUCGUGGAAAGAAGAAGGGCCGAAAUUCGGGAACAGUUUUGGGAAAAGUCUGAGGAAAAGACAGUCGGUCGACCAGUGACCGAUCAGUAAACCUACUGUUGACUCUACCUUUCGCCCCGUUUAAAUUGGGAUGUGAAAAGAACAAACGAAGGUUUCCACUGGUGCUUAGCAAGCAAUGGGGACCACUGUUCCACAACAGUAAAACUGUGCACCAGGACGGAAUAUGAGGCCUUUUGGAUAAGUCUGGAGGCAUAAGUCCAUAAGUGGUGUCCCAAAGUUUCUUUAUGGUGCACAAAAUCAUAGUUACUUGAUCACAGAUUUCUAAUUUUUGUAUGAAUAAGAGGCUCUUUGAACGUGGAUAUACCGGGUAAUGACAUUUUUACUAAACAGCUCUUGAGUUUAUUUAUAUUGUUUUAAGUGAUGUUGAAAACUACUCUUCAAGAAACCAGCUUAUGUGAUAUCUAUUUUAUAUCCUUUUUUGUACAAGAUUGUGAGUUGCCAUCAAUCUGUGAACAAGGAACUUGAUGUUGGUAUUUGAUUAAUGCAGCAUUGCUGCACAAUAUGUACUACUGUACUUGACAUUUUAAUGAGAAAAGUAUGCGAGUACGAUGUGUACAAUUACAAUCUUAAGAAUUAAAAUAGUUUGAAUAUGUGUUUACAGACUUAAUUACAACAAAAUCUUGUUUUCAGGUGCAGAAUAGUCAUAAGGGUAUAAAUGUAGCUGCUAAAAAUCACUGUAAAUUGUAAUAUAAAAUUGUUAUUUUGAUUUUGUUCCUUUCACAGAAAAUCACUGAAACUGUGGUGUGUUUACUGCAUGUUUUAUUAAUUUCAUGUAUGUUUUAUUAUAUGACUUUAAAGUGUUUUAUGUACAAUAAAUUCUAAAAUUGCA